GACAAUAAUCUGCUGUAAAGGCAGAACGUUACUAAGCCACUGCAUGAUAAAUACCCUCAGCCUGCUGAAAGUAAUUCAUACAAGCUGCAGCUGUGGCUAAGAGGAGUUUCUGUAGAAGACUGUCAGGCUCCUCUGUAACAUUAACAUAAUGUGGCUCUGAAAUUUCUACUUUAGAAACCAACAGUAAGGGAGCUCUGAAAGUCCCAGAGCUGUUUUCUGCUCCAGAAGUGCCUAAGACAUGAAGGGCUUUGAAAAGCUGUCAGAAUCCUCUCCCUUUCACCGGCAUGCAUCCUGGUGAAGCCGUCUUCAAUUCUGAACUGCUGGUUCAGCUUUGCUUUACAGCUUUGGCACAGUACAGAUGUGAUGCAGCUGCAUUACACACUAUUCAACUCACUUAUUCCUGGUUUGAACUAGCUUCAGUUUUCACUGAAUCUUCUUGUACUUGGUCGACUACACUACAGAACCUGCUGUUACCAAAUCACCAUCCACCAUGAAGGCAAGUAAAGAUGGCCUUGGCAGUGUAGUCCUACCAGAAUUAAUUGCACCCAGGCAAAUAACUUAUUCUCAGUUCUUAGAAACAUAUCUUUCCUUUUUCCCUAUCAGGAGAAGGUCAAAUACAGACUUCUCCUGUGCCAAAUACAACAUUUUUUGAGUGAGUAGAUUGUCAUCUGUAAUUACAAAAUAUUUCAAGGACGUUUUAGCACUGACAGCCUGAGACCUCCAUGUGUCAGUCAGAAUGAAGUCCCUUAUGAUAGCUCAGCUUUCCUCCCUGCCGAUUACAGGAUGGUGCAUGAGGAGCCCAUCAUGCUGCUCCUCCAUGGGACAUGGUAGCCUGCAGCAGUGGUCAGUGUCCAGUUUCUGGGCCACCUCCUGGCACAUGUGUCCGCAACAGCCAUUGUCACUUGCUUCUGCACUGUCAGAUUUCUGGGAAGAUCUGCCUGUUCAUCCUUGCUGUUUUCAAGAUAAACAGAUUAUAGUCUAAGAGGCUGAUCACAGGCAGCAGUGAUUUCUUCACCUUGAUAUAAGCUCUAUGCUUAGCUUUAUGCACUUACAACAGGGAAGGCAUCAGCUACAGUUUGGAAAAAUAUUCUGUAUUAAUUGCAAGAGAAAAAUUAGGAAAAUAUUUAUACAGAUUUAGUGACAUGCUUAUGAAAACUCUUUCAAAGCACCACCAAAAUAUCUGGCAUCUAGUUUUUAUUAGUAGUAUCUAGUUUCUGCUAAAUAAAAAAUACCCUAGAAUUUGGGUAACAAAAAUUUUUCUAGAACCUUUAAUAAAAGGUAUUAUUGACAUUGCUGAGUGUUUCAUCAGUGAAAAGUUAACUCUUCCUGAGAAGCUGCCAAGUGAGUAAAAACAAAGGUAGAAAUAAGAAGCGGCUGAAUUUGCUGGUGAGUUGUCUCAGGGUUACCUGAGAUAAAUGCAAAUCUUGCACAGAUGAAACUGUCAUCUAAAAAUGAUGGCUCCUCAUACAGCACAGCAACUACAGGUGCCCCUCCUCUGCAGCACAGGCAGCACACACAGGCGAGAUCCUGCUCUCCUCCACCUGCCUUGCAUCAACCCCCAGCAAGCAUGGGGAAACUAUUAAUAAAACAUCAGGUGAAAUAACUGUGCCUGCCUAAUGCUACAUAAUAAGCAAAGCCAAUAAGCAGUGCUUGGACUCUCCUUUCUUCUGACUUAAACUGAGAUUUUCUUGUUCAUGCAUGAACAGAUAAUUACCUCUCACUAUUUCUUAUUUUUCCUCUGCAUUAUAAGCAUAUGUAAAGGGCACUUAGAAAAAGCAGUCACAACCUAAAUUAAAACAUAAUACAAAAAGAAAAUGUUCAAUAGGCUGUAUGGGAAAGUGAUGUAACAGGUAUUACACACCAGAGAAAACAUGGCCUUUUCCUUCCAAGAGAUUUGCCCCUGGGCUUCCGUGCUUGCUUGUGUUUAGAGUUUCACAGCUUUUCCCUGUAGCAGGAACGGUGCCGUAGGCACGGUGAGGUUAUUGCAUGCAAUGCAGUGGAGCUGCCACCUCCCCACCCGUGUGCAGGAGGGUGCAGCCCCCCACCAGUGACCCAGCACUUCUCCAGGACUUGGGACUGAGCCCCCCCAGCCCCAGUAAGCAACCUCUGCCUUUUCCCCAGCAUCUGCUUCACAGCAUCUCCCUGGCAGGAGGAAAACGUCUGAUUUCUUAUUCCUCAGCUCAGAAUUUCUCAGUCUCAGCGCAUGAUAAAACACCACAAACCAGUCUGCAGAACAGCCAAGAAAAAGAAAAUACAAACCCAAACCAAUAUGUCCCACUCAGGCAUCAAAAAAGGGCAAUGUAGAGGAAACCGCAAGCCCUGGAGACCAGCACAACUUUGGUUUGGUUAUAAAGCCAUCAAUUUAUCCUUGUAACAUUAGAAACAGCAAGCUAAAUGCAAAUCCUGGAAGAUGGAAGAAGUUAAAUUGGUAGAUGGGAGCUGGCAGGUCACUGGAAAACUGUCACAUAAAUAAAUAUGUAUUAUCUCCCCAAGAAGGGCUAAAGCUAGUGUAAAACACCCCAACUAGUGUGAAACUGGCUUUAAUAAUUAA